rnacentral:rRNA from 1 species
UACGAAGGGGGCUAGCGUUGCUCGGAAUCACUGGGCGUAAAGGGUGCGUAGGCGGGUUUUUAAGUCAGGGGUGAAAUCCUGGAGCUCAACUCCAGAACUGCCUUUGAUACUGAAGAUCUUGAGUUCGGGAGAGGUGAGUGGAACUGCGAGUGUAGAGGUGAAAUUCGUAGAUAUUGGGAAGAACACCGGUGGCGAAGGCGGCCAUCUGGACCGGCACUGACGCUGAGGCGCGAAAGCGUGGGGAGCAAACAGG